rnacentral:rRNA from 1 species
UACGUAGGGUGCAAGCGUUAAUCGGAAUUACUGGGCGUAAAGCGUGCGCAGGCGGUUUUGUAAGUCUGUCGUGAAAGCCCCGGGCUCAACCUGGGAAUUGCGAUGGAGACUGCAAGGCUUGAAUCUGGCAGAGGGGGGUAGAAUUCCACGUGUAGCAGUGAAAUGCGUAGAGAUGUGGAGGAACACCGAUGGCGAAGGCAGCCCCCUGGGUCGAGAUUGACGCUCAUGCACGAAAGCGUGGGGAGCAAACAGG